GAUGAACGCUGGCGGCGUGCCUAAUACAUGCCAGUCGAGCGAACGGACGAGAAGCUUGCUUCUCUGAUGUUAGCGGCGGACGGGUGAGUAACACGUGGAUAACCUACCUAUAAGACUGGGAUAACUUCGGGAAACCGGAGCUAAUACCGGAUAAUAUUUUGAACCGCAUGGUUCAAAAGUGAAAGACGGUCUUGCUGUCACUUAUAGAUGGAUCCGCGCUGCAUUAGCUAGUUGGUAAGGUAACGGCGUACCAAGGCAACGAUGCAUAGCCGACCUGAGAGGGUGAUCGGCCACACUGGAACUGAGACGCGGUCAAGACUCCUAAGGGAGGCAGCAGUAGGGAAUCUUCCGCAAUGGGCGAAAGCCUGACGGAGCAACGCCGCGUGAGUGAUGAAGGUCUUCGGAUCGUAAAACUCUGUUAUGAGGGAAGAACAUAUGUGUAAGUAACUGUGCACAUCUUGACGGUACCUAAUCAGAAAGCCACGGCUAACUACGUG
rnacentral:rRNA from 1 species